GCCGUGAGGUGUUGCCUUAAGUGGCGCAACGAGCGCAACCCCUGUCCUUAGUUGCCAGCGGGUAAAGCCGGGAACUCUAGGGAGACUGCCGGUGCCAAACCGGAGGAAGGUGGGGAUGACGUCAAGUCAUCAUGCCCCUUAUGUCCAGGGCUGCACGCAUGCUACAAUGCGCGGUACAAAGGGCUGCGAUCCCGCAAGGGGGAGCGAAUCCCAAAAAGCCGCGCUCAGUUCGGAUCGGGGUCUGCAACCCGACCCCGUGAAGUCGGAGUCGCUAGUAAUCGCAGAUCAGCAAUGCUGCGGUGAAUACGUUCCCGGGCCUUGUACACACCGCCCGUCACACCACGAAAGUCGGCAACACCCGAAGCCGGUGGCCCAACCCCUCGGGGAGGGAGCCGUCGAAGGUGGGGUUGGCGAUUGGGGUGAAGUCGUAACAAGGUAGCCGUACCGGAAGGUGCGGCUGGAUCACCUCCUUUCUAAGGAACCAACUGCCUGUGUCCCGGCCAUCUAGUCAAUCGGCUUGGGCAAUUACACGGGGAGUUCCUACGUCGAUCACUGGUUAAUCGACCACACGGAAUUCGUCUCGACCCUCGGUCGCCCACCGCAUCCCCAGGGGAAUGUUCCUGGGAAGCGGUCACCGGCCGGGCACCACCGAGCGGCCCGUGAGGUCGGGCUUCACUGCUCUGUUGUGAGGGAACGUCCCGCGCGCCGGCCUUCGUGGCCGGCGCGUAUCGGCGUCCCUCCGGGAAAUGCGCGUGAUCCCCCGUGUGCCGUCGAGCCCAGCCUCCGGUGUGUGGUGGUGGUCGGGAGCGCUUCCCGACGCCUCCGGGCGUACCCCGUCCCUUGAGAACUGCAUAGCGAGCACGAGCAUCUUUAAAUCUCAAGCUAUGAAGAGCCAACGGUGGAUGCCUUGGCGCCAGAUGCCGAUGAAGGACGUGGGUGGCUGCGAUAAGCCACGGGGAGCUGUCGACCGAGCUUUGAUCCGUGGAUCU
rnacentral:sRNA from 1 species